rnacentral:rRNA from 1 species
CCAAUAGCGUAUAUUAAAGUUGUUGCAGUUAAAAAGCUCGUAGUUGAAUUUCGGGAUCAGCGGGUUGGUCUUGCCACUGGUAUGUACUAGCUUGCUGAUUCCUCCUUCUUGUAGAACCGUAAUGCCAUUAAUUUGGUGUUGCGGGGAAACAGGACUGUUGCUUUGAAAAAAUUAGAGUGUUUAAAGCAGGCUAGCGCCUGAAUACAUUAGCAUGGAAUAAUGAAAUAGGACGUUCGAACCUAUUUUGUUGGUUUCUAGGAUUGACGUAAUGAUUAAUAGGGAUAGUUGAGGGCAUUAGUAUUAAAUUGUCAGAGGUGAAAUUCUUGGAUUUAUUGAGGACUGACUACUGCGAAAGCAUUUGCCAAGGAUGUUUUCAUUAAUCAAGAACGAAAGUUAGGGGAUCGAAGACGAUCAGAUACCGUCGUAGUCUUAACCAUAAACUAUGCCGACUAGGGAUCGGAUGAUGUUAAUUUUUUAAUGACUCAUUCGGCGCCUUACG